rnacentral:rRNA from 1 species
UACGGAGGAUGCAAGCGUUAUCCGGAUUUAUUGGGUUUAAAGGGUGCGCAGGUUGUUUGAUAAGUCAGUAGUGAAAGUCUGUCGCUUAACGGUAGGAUUGCCAUUGAUACUGUUAGACUUGAAUAUGGAUGAGGUAGGCGGAAUGUGUAGUGUAGCGGUGAAAUGCAUAGAUAUUACACAGAACACCGAUUGCGAAGGCAGCUUACUAAUCCAUCAUUGACGCUGAGGCACGAAAGCGUGGGGAUCAGA